rnacentral:rRNA from 1 species
UCGGGAAUUUUGGGCAAUGGGCGAAAGCCUGACCCAGCAACGCCGCGUGAGGGAUGAAGUAUUUCGGUAUGUAAACCUCGAAAGAAUGGGAAGAAUAAAUGACGGUACCAUUUAUAAGCUCCGGCUAACUACGUGCCAGCAGCCGCGGUAAUACGUAGGGAGCAAGCGUUGUUCGGAUUUACUGGGCGUAAAGGGCGCGUAGGCGGCGCGGUAAGUCACUUGUGAAAUCUCUGAGCUUAACUCAGAACGGCCAAGUGAUACUGCUGUGCUAGAGUGCGGAAGAGGCAACCGGAAUGCUUGGUGUAGCGGUGAAAUGCGUAGAUAUCAAGAGGAACACCUGAGGCGAAGGCGGGUUGCUGGGCCGACACUGACGCUGAUGCGCGAAAGCCAGGGGAGCAAACG